rnacentral:rRNA from 1 species
GAUGAACGCUGGCGGCGUGCCUAACACAUGCAAGUCGAGCGGAGUCCAGCCUUUAAGACCUUCGGGUCAAAGAGGGGAAGACUGAGUGGCGGACGGGUGAGUAACACGUGGGCAACCUGGCUCAUAGAGGGGGAUAACAGAGAGAAAUUUCUGCUAAUACCGCAUAAGCACACACUGCCGCAUGGCAGAGGGUGAAAAGAGAAUCGCUAUGAGAUGGACCCGCGUCUGAUUAGCCAGUUGGCAGGGUAAGAGCCUACCAAAGCGACGAUCAGUAGCCGAUCUGAGAGGAUGAACGGCCACAUUGGGACUGAGACACGGCCCAAACUCCUACGGGGGGCAGCAGUGGGGGAUAUUGCACAAUGGGGGGAACCCUGAUGCAGCGACGCCGCGUGAGUGAAGAAGUAUUUCGGUAUGUAAAGCUCUAUGAGCGGGGAAGAUAAUGACAGUACCUGAAUAAGAAGCCCCGGCUAACUACGUG